AAUGAACGCUGGCGGCAGGCCUAAAACAUGCAAGUCGAACGCUGUAGCAAUACAGAGUGGCGCACGGGUGAGUAAUACAUGGGAAUAUGCCUUUUAGUACGGAACAACGUUUGGAAACGAACGCUAAUACCGUAUGGUCCCUUCGGGGUAAAGAUUUAUCGCUAAAAGAGUAGCCCUUGUUGGAUUAGCUAGUUGGUGAGGUAAUGGCUCACCAAGGCGACGAUCCAUAGCUGGUCUGAGAGGACGAUCAGCCACACUGGGACUGAGACACGGCCCAGACUCCUACGGGAGGCAGCAGUUAGGAAUAUUGGACAAUGGAGGAAACUCUGAUCCAGCCAUGCCGCGUGAGUGAUGAAGGCCUUCGGGUUGUAAAGCUCUUUAGCCGACGAAUAUAAUGACUGUAGUCGGAGAAUAAGCCCCGGCUAACUUCGUGCCAGCCGCCGCGGUAA
rnacentral:rRNA from 1 species